rnacentral:sRNA from 1 species
GCCGUCUCGAUUUGACACCCCAGACUUUCAGAACCCAGUCACCCCAACACCCAUCUUCUCGAUUUGUCACCUUUCUAUCGCCGUCUCGAGUGCGUCGUCCCCUCCUCUCCACCAUCCCGACAUCACGACGGCCCAGCAACUUCGACGACAUCCCAGACUUACAGAACCCAGUCACCCCACCACCCAUUUUCUCAAUUUGUCACCUCUCUCUCAAUCUUACAGGUGUUAAAUUCCCAAAUAUUAUGUGGGCCACCAACAGCACGCCACUGUCCGACAAGGCCACCGCCACGCCACCACAGCACGCCCCUGUUGUUCUCCUUCUCCAUCAUCAGAAUUAGAAGCUGAAGCUCCGGCAAUGAAGAGUAAAAAGGGAAGCAAGGCCCAUGCAAAAGACAUGGUUAAA